rnacentral:rRNA from 1 species
UCGUACCUACGGGGGGCAGCAGUAGGGAAUUUUCGUCAAUGGGCGCAAGCCUGAACGAGCAAUGCCGCGUGAACGAGGAAGGUCUUCGGAUCGUAAAGUUCUGUUGAAGGGGAAAAAGAGCGGAGAGAGGAAAUGGUCUCCGAUUGAUAUUACCCUUCGAGGAAGUCACGGCUAACUACGUGCCAGCAGCCGCGGUAAUACGGAGGAUGCGAGCGUUAUCCGGAUUUAUUGGGUUUAAAGGGUGCGUAGGCGGAAUGCCAAGUCAGCGGUAAAAUCGCGGGGCUCAAC